UUGGGUUUGUUUUGAUCACUUCAUCGGCAAGUCCUCUGAAUCGGUUAUGUUGGAGCGACAGUGAAGGUAGCAAAGGUAGGCUAAACACCCAAGAUGGUAUGGUACCAUUCAGUGAGUUGUAAGACAAAUCCACAUAAGUUAGAUUUUGGAGCAUGCUUGGGUUGCUAGGCAGUGGGCCAGAUAGGGAAUUACUCGACAUGCCUAAGUAUUCAAGAUGUGUCAAGUUUAAAAUUGAAGCGGGAAAUAGACCGAUGAAGCUGUUUUCAGAAAGAUCUAAACAACGUAGCUCUUUGAGGUUAGAGAAAACAUCAGGAAUUUCACCUGAAAAGGAGUUGUGAGAAAGAUCUAAAUAACGUAGCUCUUUGAGGUUAGAGAAAACAUC
rnacentral:lncRNA from 1 species